rnacentral:rRNA from 1 species
GAUGAACGCUAGCUACAGGCUUAACACAUGCAAGUCGAGGGGCAGCGGGAUUGAAGCUUGCUUCAAUUGCCGGCGACCGGCGCACGGGUGAGUAACGCGUAUCCAACCUUCCGUACACUCAGGGAUAGCCUUUCGAAAGAAAGAUUAAUACCUGAUGGUAUCUUAAGCACACAUGUAAUUAAGAUUAAAGAUUUAUCGGUGUACGAUGGGGAUGCGUUCCAUUAGGUAGUAGGCGGGGUAACGGCCCACCUAGCCAACGAUGGAUAGGGGUUCUGAGAGGAAGGUCCCCCCACAUUGGAACUGAGACACGGUCCAAACUCCUACGGGAGGCAGCAGUGAGGAAUAUUGGUCAAUGGGCGAGAGCCUGAACCAGCCAAGUAGCGUGAAGGAUGACUGCCCUAUGGGUUGUAAACUUCUUUUAUAAAGGAUAAAGUGGAGUCGUGACUCUUUUUGCAUGUACCUUAUGAAUAAGGACCGGCUAAUUCCGUG